rnacentral:lncRNA from 10 species
AUCCCGCUUCCCUCCUGCCUCGCCACUGCAGGCCUGUCCCUUUGCUUUCUUAAAACUGCGCACCGUCUGAGGCCACUUCGAGCCUACUGGAUCCCUGGUUCCAACCCAGUAGGAUCACAGAAGCAGGGCCAGCUGCCAGGCUUCUGCAAAAGACUUGAGACAGCUCACAAUGAAGUACUCUGUAUUAGGCAGGGUAAUAUUGAUUGCAAGUGACAGAAACCCAAUCAGAAACUCACUGGAGUCAUGAGGAACACUUAUUGGCUCAGAGUAAAGGCAAAAUAGACCUUCAGAGAAAUAAAGUCUGGGAAAUUGACUAGAUCCUCACUGAAAGAACUACUAAAGGAUGUACUUAUGGAAGAAGAAAAUUACAAAGUGAAAGAACUGGGAUGCAAGAAGUAAUGGUGAGCAUGGAAUUUGGCAAAGAUUCAAGUAAAACAAAGCAAGGACUGAGUAUAUAAAAUCAUAAUCAUAACAAAUUUUGACUAUUAUAUGUAACAGCCAAUCUCUUAACUGGGUCAUAAUAAGAAAGUGAAA